rnacentral:rRNA from 1 species
AUGAACGCUGGCGGCGUGCCUCAUCCCUGCCAGUCGAGCGAACAGACGAGGAGCUUGCUCCUCUGACGUUAGCGGCGGGCGGGUGAGUAACACGUGGAUAACCUACCUAUAAGACUGGGAUAACUUCGGGAAACCGGAGCUAAUACCGGAUAAUAUAUUGAACCGCAUGGUUCAAUAGUGAAAGACGGUUUUGCUGUCACUUAUAGAUGGAUCCGCGCCGCAUUAGCUAGUUGGUAAGGUAACGGCUUACCAAGGCAACGAUGCGUAGCCGACCUGAGAGGGUGAUCGGCCACACUGGAACUGAGACACGGUCCAGACUCCUACGGGAGGCAGCAGUAGGGAAUCUUCCGCAAUGGGCGAAAGCCUGACGGAGCAACGCCGCGUGAGUGAUGAAGGUCUUCGGAUCGUAAAACUCUGUUAUUAGGGAAGAACAAAUGUGUAAGUAACUAUGCACGUCUUGACGGUACCUAAUCAGAAAGCCACGGCUAACUACGUG